UUUUCCGGAUCCUUCCCCAAGAAGAUUCCGACAACAUUAGAGAGUUUGAGCAAGACAACGAAGUCGGACGACGACGACGUGGACCGUGGUUGACAAUUUUUGCCUGUCUUGCACAUUAUCUUACGCAUUCUGAGUUUAGUGUCAGGCGUGAAGACAGAUUAGAGAUUUAUGUCUAGCUGUUUAUGAAUGCUGCAUGACCCAAACAAAUCCUUACCCUGAUCAGGACAAAACAGCGAGACAUGAAUCCAUAUCUCGUCUUCGUUCUUCUGCCUUCG
rnacentral:lncRNA from 1 species